rnacentral:rRNA from 1 species
AACGAACGCUGGCGGCAUGCCUAACACAUGCAAGUCGAACGAGACCUCCGGGCCUAGUGGCGCACGGGUGCGUAACGCGUGGGAAACUGCGCGUAGGAUCGGAAUAACUCACCGAAAGAGGUGCUAAUAACGGAUAAUGUCAUCGGACCAAAGGUUUAUCGCGUUUGGAUGGGCCCGCGUUGGAUUAGCUAGUUGGUAGGGUAAACGCCUACCAAGGCGACGAUCCAUAGCUGGUCUGAGAGGAUGAUCAGCCACACUGGGAGUGAGACACGGCCCAGACUCCUACGCGAAGCAGCAGUGGGGAAUAUUGGACAACGGGCGAAAGCCUGAUCCAGCACUGCCUCGUGAGUGAUGAAGGCCUUAGGGUUGUAUAGCUCUUUUACCCGGGAUGAUAAUGACAGUACCGGGAGAAGAAGCCCCGGCUAACUACGUG